UACAGAGGGUGCAAACGUUGCUCGGAAUCAUUGGGCGUAAAGCGCACGUAGGCGGCCCAGCAAGUGGGGAGUGAAAGCCCUCGGCUUAACCGAGGAAGUGCUUUCCAAACUACUGGGCUUGAAUACUGGAGAGGGUCGCGGAAUUCCCGGUGUAGAGGUGAAAUUCGUAGAUAUCCGGAGGAACACCAGUGGCGAAGGCGACACGCUGGGCCGUACCUGACACUGAUGCGCGACAGCAUGGGGAGCAAACAGG
rnacentral:rRNA from 1 species